rnacentral:rRNA from 1 species
AGAAUCAACGCUGGCGGCGUGCCUAACACAUGCAAGUCGCACGAGAAAGUGGAGCAAUCCAUGAGUAAAGUGGCGCACGGGUGAGUAACACGUGAAUCAUCUACCUCCGAGUGGGGAAUAACUGAGAGAAAUCUUAGCUAAUACCGCAUAAUACCCACGGGUCAAAGCAGCAAUGCGCUUGGAGAGGAGUUCGCGGCCGAUUAGUUAGUUGGCGGGGUAAUGGCCCACCAAGACGAUGAUCGGUA